GAUGAACGCUGGCGGCGUGCCUAAUACAUGCAAGUCGAGCGAACAGACGAGGAGCUUGCUCCUCUGACGUUAGCGGCGGACGGGUGAGUAACACGUGGAUAACCUACCUAUAAGACUGGGAUAACUUCGGGAAACCGGAGCUAAUACCGGAUAAUAUAUUGAACCGCAUGGUUCAAUAGUGAAAGACGGUUUUGCUGUCACUUAUAGAUGGAUCCGUGCCGCAUUAGCUAGUUGGUAAGGUAACGGCUUACCAAGGCGACGAUGCGUAGCCGACCUGAGAGGGUGAUCGGCCACACUGGAACUGAGACACGGUCCAGACUCCUACGGGAGGCAGCAGUAGGGAAUCUUCCGCAAUGGGCGAAAGCCUGACGGAGCAACGCCGCGUGAGUGAUGAAGGUCUUCGGAUCGUAAAACUCUGUUAUUAGGGAAGAACAGAUGUGUAAGUAACUAUGCACGUCUUGACGGUACCUAAUCAGAAAGCCACGGCUAACUACGUG
rnacentral:rRNA from 1 species